GUGAGGAAUUUUCCGCAAUGGGCGAAAGCCUGACGGAGCAAUGCCGCGUGAAGGAUGAAGGCCUAUGGGUUGUAAACUUCUUUUCUCAGAAAAGAAUUAUGACGGUAUCUGAGGAAUAAGCAUCGGCUAACUCUGUGCCAGCAGCCGCGGUAAGACAGAGGAUGCAAGCGUUAUCCGGAAUGAUUGGGCGUAAAGCGUCUGUAGGUUGUUUAAAAAGUAUUCUGUCAAAGAUUAGGGCUUAACCCUAGAUAGGCAGAAUAAACUUUUAAGAUAGAGUUUGGUAGAGGCAGAGGGAAUGCCCGGUGGAGCGGUGAAAUGCGUAGAUAUCGGGAGGAACACCAAAGGCGAAGGCACUCUGCUGGGCCAAUACUAACACUGAGAGACGAAAGCGAGGGGAGCAAAUGGGAUUAGAAACCCGUGUAGUCC
rnacentral:rRNA from 1 species